UACGUAGGGGGCAAGCGUUAAUCGGAAUUACUGGGCGUAAAGCGUGCGCAGGCGGUUAUGUAAGACAGAUGUGAAAUGCCCGGGCUUAACCUGGGAACUGCAUUUGUGACUGCAUGGCUAGAGUUUGGCAGAGAGGGGUAGAAUUCCACGUGUAGCAGUGAAAUGCGUAGAUAUGUGGAGGAACACCGAUGGCGAAGGCAGCCCCCUGGGUCAAGACUGACGCUCAUGCACGAAAGCGUGGGGAGCAAACAGG
rnacentral:rRNA from 1 species